UAAUAAGUGUUUUAUGGCACUUUUUAAAUCCAUAUCCACCUUGUGUGCAAUGUCGGUCGACCUUCUUCAUGGAGAUCGACCAAACAUCAACCUUUAUCUUUUAACUCUUUGUCUGAAAAAUAUUAUGAAUAAACAAUUCAAAAUA
rnacentral:misc_RNA from 1 species